GCCAACAUGGUAUAGUGGUUUGGGCGUUAGAUUAUGACUCUGAAGAUCAGGGUUCAAAUCCCUGCUCAGCCA